rnacentral:rRNA from 1 species
UACAGAGACCUCGAGCGUUAUCCGGAUUCAUUGGGCGUAAAGCGCAUGUAGGCGGAUAUAUUAGUCAGAUGUCAAAUCUUCGAGCUCAACUCGAAAACUGCAUUUGAAACGGUAUAUCUUGAGAAAGGGAGAGACCAGUGGAACAUAUGGUGUAGCAGUGAAAUGCGUUGAUAUCAUAUGGAACACCAAAGGCGAAGGCAUCUGGUUGGCCCUUUUCUGACGCUGAGAUGCGAAAGCGUGGGUAGCGAAUGGG